AAAGGCCAGAGAAAGAGCUUUGUAUCAGAAGAUCAGAAUCUGAGUUUAACGUUGUAAUAUCUCUCAGUAGGAGACAGAAGUCAGCAGCACUGUUCCUGUGGAAAAAGAGAGGAAAAGGGCCUCAGAUUCUGGAUUCCAAAAAACUGCACUGGAGAAGCUUGUUUUGGAAAGCUGAAAAUAUUAUUGUACACACUGCUUCGGAGGCCCAUGGUGUACCAUAUAUACAAGAGAAGGUGCUACAGGGUUAUUGCAAAGGAAAGAGACAUGAUGUAAGUGACCACUGGAGAUGGCUGGAGAGAGUUAAUGAAUGUUCUGAAGUGGAGGAUCAAGAUUAAGACAUUUUGGGAGACAUUGUCCUGCUUGGUCACUAAGAACUUGCAGCUGAUUUGAAGACUCUGGACUUUCCCAGAAGACACACUGGUCUACAGGGCAGCUACAGCUUUUGAUCUUACUCUCUUCAAAAAGAUAAGGCUGCACUCCAAAGACAGGCCUCCUCCUUUGCUAAAAGCUCUCUUUGUGUGCUCAAAUUGAAGAAUGAGAAUGUACAAGAUGGAAGAUCAGCAUGGAGGACAUCUUUUGCAGCGCUGAAUCAGAGGUGGGAGAUGUACUCUACCCGAGAAAAGUUUCUCUCAUGGAGGACAGAAGUGUUGGUGAAUGUAGGGUGUGUUUGAGAUUUUAAAGGGGAGAUGGGCUAUCUGUUGCUGUGUGUAAAACUGGAGGAAGAAAAUAUGUCCCAGCUCAGACUAUGCUCAAUAGAGGGAGAGACCAGUUCCCAGUUCCCAGCUAGGUCCAGCCUAUUAUUUCCAUUUAUUAAUUAGGUGAAUAAUAUCCUAUUAUUAGGUCCAGCAGAAUUAUUUAGGCUGGCACCCAGUGCAGGAUAUUAGAGAGCAGUUAAAUCCUCUCAGAGAGCUUCGGUAAAAGGCAAUCUAUAAAAACAAAUCUUACAUUUGGUCAUCAUUAAUACGCUGGAAAAUAAAUGAAGGUAUAACUAUGCUCUGCAAUUUUUAUUUCAUUUAUGAAGACUGUGCCACAUGGCAUACAUGCUCUGUCUGUGCUGUUAAGCACAUGAUGUGAGAAAUGGUGGUGUGAGGACUUAGAAUGGAAGAAGAAAGACAUAGUCCAUGCUGAAGCAAAGCAGAAAAUAUUUUAGCUUUAUUUUAUGAAUUCAUAGAUUUCUUAGAGGUCUGCAUGGAGCUUUCAUAGAGGUUGAUUUAGAGAUCAGGCCUAGUGACAAGUCCCAGGUUAAUUCUGUAGCAGCUGCCAAAUCCCUCAGUAAGGCACACUGUACAACAAUGGCUACUCUAGUCUCUAAAGAAAUAUUUUAGUAAUGUUUCUGGAGUGGCUAGUGUAGUGUACAGUGAAAAUGCCUGUGCCUCUGCCAGUAUGGAGCCAAACAAGACUUACCUAAGCCUGGGUUACCCUAGAACUGAUCUUCUUACCAAACUCCCAAAUAAAAUGCAAAAUAUUACAAAUUCCUCUUUCCUUACUUUUUAAAAAUUCAAUGAAAUUUUUAGAAGAGAGGGGAAAAUUAUAAGUGAAGGGAAAAUGUUGCAUGAUUCCUUAGCUAGACACCUGGAAAUCAGUCAGCCCUUGAGACAAUCUUGGAAUAGAUAUGUGAUUCCUUGAUCUUCUUUAUCAACAAG
ensembl:lncRNA